AUUGAACGCUGGCGGCAGGCCUAACACAUGCAAGUCGAGCGGAUGAAGGGAGCUUGCUCCUGGAUUCAGCGGCGGACGGGUGAGUAAUGCCUAGGAAUCUGCCUGGUAGUGGGGGAUAACGUCCGGAAACGGGCGCUAAUACCGCAUACGUCCUGAGGGAGAAAGUGGGGGAUCUUCGGACCUCACGCUAUCAGAUGUGCCUAGGUCGGAUUAGCUAGUUGGUGGGGUAAAGGCCUACCAAGGCGACGAUCCGUAACUGGUCUGAGAGGAUGAUCAGUCACACUGGAACUGAGAAACGGUCCAGACUCCUACGGGAGGCAGCAGUGGGGAAUAUUGGACAAUGGGCGAAAGCCUGAUCCAGCCAUGCCGCGUGUGUGAAGAAGGUCUUCGGAUUGUAAAGCACUUUAAGUUGGGAGGAAGGGCAGUAAGUUAAUACCUUGCUGUUUUGACGUUACCAACAGAAUAAGCACCGGCUAACUUCGUG
rnacentral:rRNA from 1 species